rnacentral:rRNA from 1 species
UACGUAGGGGGCCAGCGUUGUCCGGAUUUAUUGGGCGUAAAGAGCGUGUAGGCGGCCAGGUAGGUCUGCUGUGAAAACUCGAGGCUUAACCUCGAGAUGUCGGCGGAAACCAUCUGGCUAGAGUCCGGAAGAGGAGAGUGGAAUUCCUGGUGUAGCGGUGAAAUGCGCAGAUAUCAGGAAGAACACCCGUGGCGAAGGCGGCUCUCUGGGACGGUACUGACGCUGAGACGCGAAAGCGUGGGGAGCGAACAGGG